rnacentral:lncRNA from 1 species
GCUCCUGGGUAGGCAUUUGCCCCGGUGGAAUGCCUUGUCAGAGCAGUGCAUGGCAGGCCCCAGCAGAGGAUCAAUGCAGUGGCUGAGCACCGGGAGGGAACUGGCGCUUGGAGUCCGUAUAUCUGGAACAUGUGAGGGCUUAUUUGGCCUCCCCAGGACGGACUGGAGCAUCAGUAGUGCCUGAGUUCAUCAAAGGACAGAUGCUCAAGACACCUUGAUCACCAUUAGGUGGAACUGAAGGAGCCAAAAAUGGGCGCAAUGGCUCCUCAGCAGAUACGCUCCUGAAUGUAUAGACAUGGGAACCACUUUCAGCAUCAAAAAAGGAAACGUUCUGCAUGCCCAUAUCCAGAAAAAUCCCCACUCGCUGUAACUUGCGGUCUACGAAGAGGAAAGUCAGCGGCACCGUGGUGGCAGAGAGGCGGCCUCCAUCCCUCAAACUCACAGUCCAGAAUCCAAGCUCUGUGGUCAGCUGGAUCCUCCCUUUGCGGUGAACAGAUUCUCUGCAGACUCCCAGGUCCCAUUCUGUGCUUGUUCCCACGUCCACCUCCCAGCAGUGGCGGCCACAGGUAAAGCGAGGGGAGCCCAGGAUGCAAACGGACACGUCAAAUCUCUCGGCAAGGUCUUGCCGAUUCUGUCUGAUGCGCCCACUUCGGACGCUCCUGAGGUCGUCAGAAAUGAGGAGGAAGUUGUUGGCUGUGUUGGCAUCCAAGGUCAUAUCCACUGUGAAAAGGAAAAAAAGUUGCUCAGCAAAUGGACAGAAACCAACCCUAUGCCUCUCUUCUACUUCAAAGGCCCAAAUAUCUCUUGACUUUAGUUUCUUUAAUUCUCUUCUUCCCCCAAAAUCCAAACUUCAUGAGGUAACUUCCCUGACUAGUUCAAAUUCUCAUAGGUAUGCUUUGUGGCAAUACCUGACCCUUAUUCACAGUAGCAAUUCUUAUUUUACUUUAUGUCAUGUGUUUGCUUCAUUGGCCUUUUCUUCGUUUAGAGUGGAGGGUCUUUGAAGGCAGACACCAUGCCCCCCUUUCUACCACCUUGAUGCAUGAACAAAUAAAUGAUAAGACAAUGCAAGUGGUCGAUAUUAAAUGAUGUUUGUUUCCACAUUUUUUUGCUUCAAUUUAAAUAGUAUCUAGAGCAUGAGUCCAGGCCUUUGUUUUCCAUGUUUGUAAACAAAUUAAUCGUGUACAGUUCUGACAGAAGAUGGAAUAUCUCUGCA